rnacentral:lncRNA from 1 species
CUUUUUUUUUUUUUUUUUUUUUCUUUUUUUCGGAGCUGGGGACCGAACCCAGGGCCUUGCAUUUGCUAGGCAAGCGCUCUACCACUUAGCUAAAUCCCCAACCCCUGGAAGGGUAACUUCUUGAUAAAGUCCUAUGUACAUCCCAGGGUCAUGGCUGAGUGGUGGGGUCAGGGUUGGGAUGGAGAGAUCUGUUCUCUCCUUUUGGCCUGUGGCAUUAGUAGCCUCUGCUCAGAGUUCUGCAAUGAAAGGCGUGAACGUCAUCUUCCUGUGUGAGAUUGCUGGGUGUUCAGUUUUCCGGACAGCCCAGCCCAGCUUGCUCCCUCCACCCUCCAUCCAGGCUGAUUCAUUCACCAGUUUCCCUGGAGGUCCAGUUUUGUUCUUUAAAACCAGCCGUGGCUUGCUUUUCCCUCACCAGCUCUGAAUUCUUCCAGGCUAGGCAACUGGGAAAACCUGGCCUUAGGAACUGCUUUACUGGCUUCUGGCCCAGCCAGACUGACCAAAAUAGCCACCAGAAGGACUGUUUGUGCAGAGCGAAAUUCCUACUAGGGAAAUACCAUAGUGGAGGGCUAAGGAAGCCAUAGCUGGGAAGGAUUUAAAAAAAAAAAA